rnacentral:lncRNA from 1 species
CUCCAACCCAGGCAGUGGUUGCUGAAGCUUUAAUGAGGAGCCGACAGAUGAAUCCCCUUUGCCCUGUGCUCCCUCCAGCAAGCCCGCUGCUUCCCCACACUGCCUUCCCUGAGCGGCGCUGCCUUUGGACUUGAACUGGAAUUUACACAACUGGCUUUGUUGAGUCUCCAAAUUACAGACAGCAGACCAUGGGACUUCUCCGCCUCCAUAAUCAUAGCUGGACUGCAGUGCUGUACCUUGCCAGCAGAGAAGGCUGUCUAGCACACAUCAGCCUGAAACCAGGAGAGAUUUGAUCUUCCUCUCUUGCACCAGGAGCCAGGAGCUGAGGAGAAAGUGCAGCUCACCACCUCCUUUUUUUGCAUUGAGGUUGUUAUAUUCCACUGCUUGGAUUCCAAAUCUUGGAGAAACUGAUUUGUGGCUGUUUACCACUCUGCCAUCUUCCUGGAACUCCUUCACCUUGACAAACUGGGAUUGAGUCCUGCCUCUGCUACUCAGUGAUUUCUUCAAGCUUCACUUUAAUGGUUCCUAUCUAUAAUGUGGAGAUAAUAAAGCCUAUUUGCUCUAGUCAUAUAUUUAUAUAUUACCAAGCAUCUCAAGAUUUAGUACUCAAAACAACAGCC